AUAUGCUACUAUUCUGAAGUAAAUAGAAGUUGAUAGUCAAGUAAAUAGAAGUUGAUAGUGACUAAAUCCCAGUAUAGUAGUACCAAGUAAUAUGCUAGUAAUAUAGUACCAAGGCCCUUCUCCACACUUUAAUAACCUACAUCUAUAUGGACAUACAAGCAGAUAGACAGACAGAUAGCAAGAUAGAUUUUUCUUUUUAGGAUAUAUGUUGUUCAAUAUUGCAUGUUCCUACAGGGAAGGAAUUCUUUGAAAUGCAGUAGUGCUUGCUAAGUGCAAAACGCAUAAAAUAUGCAGGAUAGUGCACUUAAUUUCUGAUAAAAAUGGAAGAAUGAUAGGGAAGGAGUAAAUGUCUCACUUCAAACCCAAAGGGACUGUGAAUAGGACAGAAGUACAAAAGUAAAGGGGAAAACAUAUUUUUCCCUCUGGGAAGAAAACAAGGUUUGCUACAUCUGAUGAAUACAGGCCAUAUCACCUAGUGCACUGCUGAAGCUACUAGGACACCCCUGUCAGCUGAGAAAUGGAGAAUCCCCAAAACAAUAAUCCAAUAGAUAUAUAUUCUUUGACUUUGUUCUCUGUCUGGCACAGAUUUGCUUAACCCUUUUUUUGAGGACAGCUUUAGUAAUGAAGAUCUGCAACAGUUAUUGUCAAAUUAGAACAGUCGAGAGGGAAGUGGUGUCCUCAGAUGUGGGCUGCUUUGAAUUGCAAGUAGGUGAAGAGUGGAACAGGUGCCAGAAUUCAAGAGCUGGACAAACACCUCCAACGCAAACACUUCUAGCCUGGGGGACUGGAGUGGUAAGACAAGAGUGACAACGUCUUAAAAAAAAGCAGUGUCUGUUUCGGGAAUAAUCUUUUUAUCUGCUGCUCAGACAUAAUCCCUCUUACGGUCCAGCUGGAAGAGCUUUCUUCAUCUUAUUAACCUUCUGGAGCAGCAUCUGUCAACCCCAGUAGACUUCAGAACUAUCACGAUAAACAACGGAAGUCUCUUCUAGUGCCCAUUGCCUUCAAACACUGUUCAUUUGGACAUUCCAGAGGUACAGCAAGUGAGCAGAAGUGAAAUCAUGGGGAAAGAUGAUUGUGCUAUUUCCAAACCUGCGAUCACAAAAAACAGGGAAAUUCCUUUGAAAAGGAAGAGAGCUUUCUCUGAAAGAACAUACUAUAUUCUGCUUACCCACUACAUUUGACCUGGAAGCUCCUCUCCGUCCUCAUACCAAAAGGUUGCUGUUGUGAUAUUUCUAUCAUAGAAUUGAUGAUGAUGUUCUAUGACAGCAGGGGAAUGAUGUGACUCAGCAGUAAAUUGCAGCAGUGUUCAGGGCUGGCACAAGUUGAUUCCAAAUUGGUUGUGGGGGAGGGAAGGUGGUGCAUGGAAGGAGAAUAAAAAAAAAAAAACAAAAAACAACAUGGUGGGAAAUGACGUUUCAAGCACACAGCUAUAACUGGGCCAAGAACUGGCAGUGAGUGAAUACAGUUUUCAUAUGGUUCUGUUCCAGUUUCCCAAAUAACUGUUCCUGUUACAUAUUUGGAACGUGUAAAAGUGCCAUACUUUUUGUUUUCAAGAAUGUUUUAUAGUGUUUCAACAAACCUAAAAGACUACCAGGAGGGUAUUUGUAAAUGUCCUGUCUCACUCAGAGAUUUCUGUGCAACUGGAUUUUAGAUUAGGAAAUAUCUAGACUGGCAGCAACUCUGUUUUCUAGCUCUGUAAAUUCAAGUUGUUUUAAGAACAACCUUCAUUUGAACCCAAUCAGUAUUCUAUUUUUACUUAGGAUUUAAACAAUGACAACCUCCCUCCCUUCCUGAGAUAGCCUAAUUUUAACUACUCAGACCAGCUAAUAAAGAGACUGAGCUGAGACCAACAAGGUCUGCUUUUUCUUAUUUUCCCAAUCUUUUUCUGAUUUUCAGUACUCACUGUAAUGCUUCAUAUAUGUUGUUUCAUUUACAUUGUUUUACUGUUCUAACAAAACAAAUUAGGAAGACCUUGUCAGUAGCACAACGAAAGCCAGCAGUGGAGAUGAUCAGGAUAUAUAGCAGAGAAAAUUUGAGUAUUAAAGCAGGAUCAUUAUUUAGCAGUACCAGUAUUCAACUUUAUAUGUUUUAUAUAUCAUAAUCAAGUGGUAUGUGGUAUAGUCAUAUAUGGACUACCUCAAUGAUCCACAUAAUCUUUAGCACUCAUUUAUAAGCAUGUUACAGUUGAACGAUGGAAGUUCCCCUAACAUAUUAUCUCGUUGAUUGCUUCAGGUCUGGAUCUGCAACUUUUGGAAGCACAGGAAAUUUUUCUUAUGGUAGUGGAAUCCACUGCUUCUAGCACCAUCUUCUGAAAGUGCAGGGUCGGCAUUUCUGGAAAUCACAGGCCAUUUCUUCAGAGAAGCCUAGGUACAAAACUUCCUAUGGAAUUUGGUAGGAAUGUGAUCCAUUAAUUCCAUUAGGAAUCUAAUUUAAGCAUUGGACUGAAUUUUAAAAAGUGCAAUAAAGAGAUUUACUUAAUUACUAUGCAGAGUUAGUGGAGUCUGAAGCAAGAAUCAGAAAUCCUUUCAUUUAGAAAUGUUGAGUGAGCCCUUCUCAUAUAGGAGAAGACACACAUUUAAUAAAACAUGCUUUGUAUCUUUCAGAGAAUUUAAAAUAAACAUGUGCAGGAACAAUACUAGAAGAUACCACACUGUUGUUUAGUGUCAAGGUAUGACUUUUGGAAAAUAUUAAGCUCCAUGGGUAAACAUUGACUAAAAGUUGUAGGGUGGGAAUGUGCAUACAUUGGGAUGCUGCUUAAGUGAUGAAUAUUUCAAGCUGUUUUCUGUUCAGGAAGUGUCUUCUAUGUAUUUCCAUUUAAUUAAGAUUUUUUUUUUUUUUUUUUUUUUAACUAACCUUGAUAACUGGUACAGCAGAAACAAACAAGAAUGAUAAACACUCAUUAAAGCUAAAGCAAUAUUAUCUAGGGACCACUCCAUCUCUAAGUGCUGUGGUGUUUAAUUAUAGGUCACUGUUAAUUAAUCUAGAAGCAUUUCUUCUAUUUGGUUUGCUGUCAACAAUAAUUAUAUAUUCUUAAAGAGGCAAUUAAAAAAAAUCAACUGAAAUUCAAUAGUGCAGUACAAAUACACUACCAAGACAUGGGAAAGGCAAAACUGUAUACUAAAAUAUCCAUUCAUCCAAGAUAAGUGCUCUUAAAUGUUUUAAAUCAGACCUGUUAAUGGUCAACUCAAUGAAUCACUGCACAUAUCUAAAAUGAUAUGCUGACAUGUUGUUUAAAUAUAACAAAAGCUGUUUCCUUUGUUUGCAAAAAAAAUAGCAAUUUAGGCCAUUGAGAACCAUGUUUUGAAGAUGUUUUAUGUAAAUGGUGGGCAAGACUGAGGUUCAAGAUGUUGCCACAUAGAGAUGAUCUAAAAGUAGUUAUGUAUAGUGCUGAAUUUUAGGUACCCUACUUAGGUAUGGAAAUCAGGGUGCCAGCUAACUCAAGUGCCAAUGCAAACAAGACAGAUUUUCUCUUCCAAACAGCACUCUAAAUCAUCUAAGUUUGUGUUCUAGUUUUAGAUGUUCUGAGUCAUUACUCCUUCUGGUCAAGCAAAUUUUUUUACUUAUAAUUUCCAUGAUGCAUUUCCCUGAGAAACUUGCCUAACCACAAAGAAGGGUAGAUCUGUACUUAUGAAGUAGUUUUUAAAUAAUCCCAAGUCUUUCCCUGCCUCUGUAGGAGCCAGACUGGAAUCCUGCAACUGCUAUGCAUUAGACUUUUGUAGGCUUUUGAUUAAAACUGAGGAAAUGCAGUUUCCUCAGUUCUUCAGAAGGGUUCCUCUGCACCCUUCUUUGCUACUGAGUUUGGCCAAACCAAGCCUUGUCUCUCAAACUCUGUAUCUGCAAAUGGAAGGGAUGAAAUUGGAGAGCUAGAAAUGCAUCUGCAGGAACAAACAAGAAACUAGAUGUAAGAAAGAUUUUUUUUUCCCCUUUCUCAUGCAAUUAAAAUGUUGAUGAAAUAUUUCACAAAUAAAAGUAUUCUUUUAAAUUAAAAACAAAGCGCUGAAUUGUUAUUUUAUUUUUCAGAUAUUCUAGUUUCCAUAUGAAAGUUAGGCAUCAGUACUACUCAUCUAAUGAGUUUGUUGUGAAGAAAACAAGUAGUCUAUUUGUUAAACUUUUCCAGUUGGGUAGUAUUUGUAUUUUUCCCACGACUGCUGCCCAGCCAUUGUGUUUUCUUUUUCUUCCUGAACUAAUGUAAAACUUAUAUUUAGUGAGUAAGUAAACAAGACAAAACAAAAAUACAACAACAACAACAACAAAACAACAACAUAAACCCACUGGCUCUCAGGAAGGUAAAAAAAAAUAAUCUUAUGUUUUGUUAAAUGUUUUUCUUUGUAUUUCUUAGACAAUUCCUCUUUCUCAUGUCUCUCCUUAGUAGCAGAGACCAAAUAAGAUCACAUAAAAGAAAGAUAUUUUGACACUAAGAAAUGAUAUUUUCUGUCUGAAAGAAGCUAUCAGUGCCCAGAUAUUUUUCUUGCAAAUGUCCUCUUGCUUUUCAGAUCAAUGGUUCUUUAAAACCCAUUUCAUCUGGAAAUUCCUUCAUUGUCCCCUCAAAACUGAACUUGGCCGGUGUAUCCUGGAAGACAGUCACACAACUCCCUUUGCUGGUGGCCAUACACAGUGAUAACACUAGAUAAUACAUUGAAAUUCCUACCUCCAUUUCUAUUGGGGUGUCAGUAAUGCAGCAAAUGCUGUGGAAAUUAAGUUAGUUGUUAGUUUGAGUAAAUGCCAAAUUGGAGUAAUAAUUUAGUUUUGAUUAAAGCUGUGAAUUAUAUAGGAAGAAAUAGCCAAGAAAAAUAUCGGUGAUCCAAGGAAAUCAAAAGAAAAUCAGAGGUUAAAGUUCUGGGUUUCUGGGUUGUGCAACUGACUCAUUAAAACAGCCUGUAUACCAAAGGAAAGAGUUUUUGGAAAGAUUUUGGUACGUACCUGGAGAACAAUAUCUCAGCAAUUCUAGCUUCAGUACUAGGCAAAUUGAUAUAAUUCAUAACAAAAUAAGUAAGUAUGAUAGCAAGAAUAAUUUGGUUGAUACAAUGUUUUUGGAUAUCCGACAGUUUUUAAGCUGUCUACCCUUAAAAAACUCAAUUGUCAUGGAAUAAAAAAAAAAAAAAA